AGCAGGAUAGUUCAGUCGGUAGAGCACGAGACUCUUCAUCUCAGGGUUGUGGGUUUGAGCCCCAUGUUUGGCA